GAUGAACGCUGGCGGCGUGCCUAAUACAUGCAAGUAGAACGCUGAAGGAGGAGCUUGCUCUUCUGGAUGAGUUGCGAACGGGUGAGUAACGCGUAGGUAACCUGCCUGGUAGCGGGGGAUAACUAUUGGAAACGAUAGCUAAUACCGCAUGACAACAGUUAUUGCAUGAUAACUGUUUAAAAGGGGCAACUGCUCCACUACCAGAUGGACCUGCGUUGUAUUAGCUAGUUGGUGAGGUAACGGCUCACCAAGGCGACGAUACAUAGCCGACCUGAGAGGGUGCUCGGACAAACUGGGACGGAGACACGGCCCAGACUCCUACGGGAGGCAGCAGUAGGGAAUCUUCGGCAAUGGACGGAAGUCUGACCGAGCAACGCCGCGUGAGGGAAGAAGGUUUUCGGAUCGUAAAGCUCUGUUGUAAGAGAAGAACGAGUGUGAGAGUGGAAAGUUCACACUGUGACGGUAUCUUACCAGAAAGGGACGGCUAACUACGUG
rnacentral:rRNA from 1 species